rnacentral:rRNA from 1 species
GUCUACAGCCACGCCACCUUGAACGUGGCUUAUCUGGUCUCAGAAGCUAAGCAAGGUUGGGCCUAUAGUUCUUGGAUAGGAGAAAACAAAAUCAUGAUUGUAAUUUUUCUAUUGGCAAGUAAGUAUAGGAGUCA